GACGAACGCUGGCGGCGUGCUUAACACAUGCAAGUCGAACGGAAAGGCCCUUCGGGGUACUCGAGUGGCGAACGGGUGAGUAACACGUGGGUGAUCUGCCCUGCACUUUGGGAUAAGCCUGGGAAACUGGGUCUAAUACCGAAUAUGAUCAUCGGCUUCAUGGUCGGUGGUGGAAAGCUUUUGCGGUGUGGGAUGGGCCCGCGGCCUAUCAGCUUGUUGGUGGGGUAAUGGCCUACCAAGGCGACGACGGGUAGCCGGCCUGAGAGGGUGACCGGCCACACUGGGACUGAGAUACGGCCCAGACUCCUACGGGAGGCAGCAGUGGGGAAUAUUGCACAAUGGGCGCAAGCCUGAUGCAGCGACGCCGCGUGAGGGAUGACGGCCUUCGGGUUGUAAACCGCUUUCAGCACAGACGAAGCGCAAGUGACGGUAUGUGCAGAAGAAGGACCGGCCAACUACGU
rnacentral:rRNA from 1 species